AUUAAUUUAACUUUUAAAUUGUACUUUUUUACUGUAUGGGUACAAUAUAUCUGCAGUAUUCCAAGCUAAUAAAAGUUGAAAUGACAUCAGACAAAAAUGUUUUAAGUUUUUGCUAUCCAAAGCGGUGGUAUUCAAGACUAAAAGUCGUUCGCCCCCUCCCCUCAUGGAAUUUACCCGAAGACGCUCCUGAGCAAUACUAUUAACCGGUCUCCACUCAGAAUCAUUUUUUGUUGGCAAUGUUCAAAUAAACUCAAUUUCCCUGAAUAUCCUACCUUCCCAACUUCUCAUCUAUAACAGUGGUUCACCCAUCGUACGAAGUGUGUCCGUCUUUUUUCUUAUCAAUCAUUAAUAUUAAAGUUAAUAAUUUCGCUCCCUCCCAUAUUUAAGGUUUAAAAACGUCCCUGUGCCGGUUAGUUAUUCAGUUGGAGACAAACAUUUAUUAAUGAUGAAUUAAAAUAAACUUGAAAUAUUUUUAGUGUCCUAUUUCAUCCUAUAAUAUAUAAUGUCAUGUAACUAUUUUUUUCAAAUCUAUUUUGUUUUAUUAACUUUUGAAAAGACUGAAGACAGUCAUUUCAUAGAGAUUAGUCUUCUGAACAUUUUGACGUAUUAUAUUUUUAUUUCCAUUAAAUUCGUGGUUUUUAAUAAUUUUUUAAAAUUCCGAGAAAAAAUGUGUACAUUUAAUUAUAGCCAUAACAAUAAUAGUCCAUUAGCGAAUGCAAUCACACCCUGCUACGUAAUAAAGUACCAAUAAUUAUUGGUACUUUUUAAUGAUAAAUGAAAAUAAAAAGUUGGAACGUCAUAUUUUUCGGAUGAAUAUAUACCUACUCUAUGAAACUGCUGGUUUCAAAUUUUUGGAUAAUGAUAAAAUAAAAAGUUAGUUUUUUUCAACCAAAACAUAAACAUUUAAUUUAAUUACAAAUAUUUGUAGUCCUUAUCUAUGCGAAUAAUAUAUAUAUAUAAAAAAAAAAAAAAAAAAACCUGAAUUUGAUUAUCUGUAUUAUUUCAGGAGAUGUUGCAACGGGUAUAUCUUCGUGGGAUACCAUGCAGACUACGGCGACGAGAGAAAAAAAAGUCGGUUUUUUUUUCCAGACCGACGGUUACCAGAGAUAACGAAAACCGCAUAUACCUCUACCGCCAGCUAUUAUUAUAUUAUUUAUAUAAGAGCCAUAUGAAUAUUAAACAGCGAUUUAUCUAAUCGAACCGAUCGAUCCGCUACGCAUUUAUUACACUGUAAAAAAUAAUACCGACUAUACGGCUGCAGACAACUACUGCAGUCAGUCAAUUCGAUCGGUAACGUGGUCGUCGGUGAUGGGUGUGUCACACUGCGGCCGCACGACAAAACGAGAAAAAAAAUAACGAAUUUUAUUAGCAAACUGUUAAUACAUAUGAAAAAAAAAAAAAAAAAAAAAAAUUUUUAAAAAUAAUCGUGUAUAAAACGUCAUUGUAAUUCGUCUCGUAUUUUAUAUAAUAACAAGACGAGUCUCUAAAUGCGCAUAAACAAUAUAAUAGUUGUCCGACGGUGCGGCGGCCUGUGUCUCGGUGUUUAUGUAGGAAGGUGUAAUAAGUACGGUUUUUAAGGCGCACUACAAUUAUUGUUAUUAUUAUUAUUAUUUUAGAGACCGGAUUUUUUAGCGCAUAAAACGUGGAGAAUAAAACAACACAUAAGUGUUCUGUAAUAUUAAUUGUGCGAAUCGGAAACAAAAAAAAAGUAAACAAAAAGAGGGACUAUGAGACUUAAAACAAAAACCAGCGCACCUAACGAUUAUUUCGGCGGUUUUGGGUCUAGUUGCUCGCGAAGAGAGUAGUUUUCUGAUUUUCCUAAUAGUUUUCGUAAUAAUUUGAAAAACCGAAAAAAAAAAAAAAAAGACGAAAAAUGAAAACUGAUCAAUUUACGGUGUCACUGUUCUUUUAUUUUAAAUUCGUACGGCCUUUGUUUUCUACCAGAAAUAUCGCUCCAAUAAAAAAAAAAAACGACAAGAGAUUAAAUAUUGAUGUUGCAUUCUAGUUGGUGAGUAAGAAAGCCGUUUUUCAACAGUAGCCCACCCGUGGUACGAAGUAUGUCCGUCUUUAUUUAUUUUAUUAUACAUAUUAUAAAACCGUUGACAAUGUUAUGCGAAGGUAUUGAACUUACAUUUGUGUGUUAUGUAUUUUAUUUUGUAUACAAUUUUUUGUUUCGCCCGAAAAAUGUUGGUGUUUAAAUUUUCGUCGAAUUACCGUAUUACCACACAACGCGUUAGUGCAACGCAAAAUAACAAACGGUAAUAGUAAAAAAACUCAUCGGUAAUAUAACUAAUUUGUUUUAUAUUUUGAGACUUAGAUAAUCAAUGACAUUGAUUUCUAAAAACAAAAAAAAAAAAAAUAUUUACAAUACUGAAUGUAUCCGAAUUGAUAAUGGAUAUAAUAUAUAUAUAUAUUUUUUUUUUUUAUGAAAAUAACGUAUUUGCAAAAAAAACCCACCGUUCCAUUGUCCCAACAGAAAUAUUUAUCAAGGGGAUGCUAAACAAAAAUAAUUAUUAUAAUUAUGGAAUAAAAUGUUACCGGUUUCUACUUUUCUAUGUUUUCUGGUCAUAACCAUGCAUAUAAUUAUUCAGACCAUUAUAGAGUAUAUUACAGUUGCGGUCGAACGUUACUAGACGUUUUCUUUGAGAGCACGGGCUCGAACCCGAUAAAAGUCGCUAUAUUUUUUGUAUAUUUUUUUAUUAUUUUUUUUCAAAUAAAUCCAUACACGUUCGACAAAAUUUCCUAAAAUAUCAAUAUAUUCUUAAGAAUAUAAUAUUAUCGUAUGACCAUUUCAGUUAUUUCAGCCAUCCGUUCAUUCGGUUCGUUGUCAAACGAAUUUAGUCGAGAAAGCUCGACCAAUUAGAACUGUAUAUAGUGUAUACAGUCUCAGUAAAAAAACAUCUUAACGUGGAUAAUUACAGUGUGAAUACAAUUGAGUGAGG